AUAUCCUCCAAUCAGCAGGCUGCGCGGGAGUUCACGGCGGAGGCGCGAGGCCACCGGCUCGCUCCACUGCGUCCAGGAACAUAGAAACGAUGAUGUGGGAACAAUCUGCCGCUGUGGUUGCUGCGGAGGGUGCAGCCCUGGUCUCACGAGAGGCUGUGUGCUCACCAUUGCCCCAUCCCAGAAGUGUAGGGGCGCCCCUGGGUGUACAGGAGUAACGCGGUUAUUUCUAGUAGGAUUGCUCUGCUUGGACCCAGGAGAGAGUGCCCCUCCACCUACGCCCUUUCUCGUCACUGGGACCUGCAGUCACCGGCUGUCUGCUGACUGAACUGGAAGGGCAGGACGCCCGCUCCUGGGGACAGUUUCGAGGUGCCCUAGGCAUGUGGCGACCCAACCCAACCCAACCUAGGCGCCAGGAUGAAGGAAAUGCCUUCUGAAGUUGAAGAUGGGAGUCUUCAGGUCAGACGCAUCAGAGCCCCAAGGCAGUGGGCGGAAGCUGAAGGCGGCCAUCUACAACUCAGACGAGAGCCUCCCCAGAGCCCAGCCACGCUAGCACCUGACUUCAGGCUGCCAGCCUCGAGCCAUGAGAGACAGAUGUCUGCUGUUCAUGAGACAUGCAGCCUGUGGUACUCUGUUAUAGCAGCCUGAAUGGACUAAGCCCAGAGUAACGCUCACACCUGUGGUCACUGGCCACCCUGCCCCCUGGCCCCUGGAGGUGUUUUCUGCAAUCAUGCUCAGGCACCUCUCCCUGAAAAAACAGUCUGAUGGUUUAUGGCUGAAGCACAGUGCAGUCAGAGAGUUAAUACUGCUCGGGACCUCAGACAGUUCGGCCUUCUCCUUGUUUGGUCUGAGAGCCAGAAAGGCAAGGCAAUCUUCCUGGGCUCACGUGGCCUGAUACUUCUUGUUUCCGUCAGCACUCUGAGGACUCGGAGGAAAGCGCCGGAAGUUCUUAGGCAAUUAUUUGGCCUUCUGCAGUGACGCCACUCCACUCCAUCCCAGCUGCCGCUCACCCACCCACAUCCCCAGCGAGCCACGCUUCCCGUAUUAUCCAAGACACCAGCCCGCCACGCACCACUUGCUUCCCUACUUGAGCGGUGCUUGAAUACUGUCACUC
ensembl:lncRNA